rnacentral:rRNA from 1 species
UACGAAGGGGGCUAGCAUUGCUCGGAAUCACUGGGCGUAAAGCGCACGUAGGCGGCUUUCUAAGUCAGGGGUGAAAUCCUGGAGCUCAACUCCAGAACUGCCUUUGAUACUGGGAAGCUCGAGUCCGGAAGAGGUGAGUGGAACUGCGAGUGUAGAGGUGAAAUUCGUAGAUAUUCGCAAGAACACCAGUGGCGAAGGCGGCUCACUGGUCCGGUACUGACGCUGAGGUGCGAAAGCGUGGGGAGCAAACAGG